ensembl:lncRNA
UGGGGUUGUAGAUGUCUAGUCUCCUUUAUGGCUCUAUAAUCUGAUAGCGGUAGUGUGGUGGUAGAUGUCUAGUCUCCUUUAUGGCUCUAAUCUGAUAGUGGUAGAUGUCUAGUCUCCUUUAUGGUUCUAAUCUGAUAGUUGUAGUGGGGUGGUAGAUGUCUAGUCUCCUUUAUGGCUCUAAUCUGAUAGUGGUAGUGUGGUGGUAGAUGUCUCCUUUAUGUCUCUAAUCUGAUAGUGGUAGUGGGGUUGUAGAUGUCUAGCCUCCUUUAUGGCUCUAAUCUGAUAGUGGUAGAUGUCUAGCCUCCUUUAUGGUUCUAAUCUGAUAGUGGUAGUUGGUUGGUAGAUGUCUAGUCUCCUUUAUGGUUCUAAUAUGAUAGUGGUAGUGGGGUGGUAGAAGACUCCUUUAUGGCUCUAAUAUGAUAGUGGUAGUGGGGUGGUAGAUGUCUAGUCUCCUUUUUGGUUCUAAUCUGAUAGUGGUAGUGGGGUUGUAGAUGUUUAGCCUCCUUUAUGGCUCUAAUCUGAUAGUGGUAGUGGGGUGGUAGAUGGCUCCUUUAUGGCUCUAAUCUGAUAGUGGUGGAUGACUCCUUUAUGGCUCUAAUCUGAAAGUGAUAGUGGGGUGGUAGAAGACUCCUUUAUGGCUCUAAUCUGAAAGUGGUAGAUGACUCCUUUAUGGCUCUAAUCUGAUAGUAGUAGUGGGGAGGUAGAUGUCUAGGCUUCUUUAUGUCUCUAAUCUGACAGUGGUAGAUGUCUAGUCUCCUUUAUGGCUCUAAUCUGAUAGUGGUAGUUGUCUAGUCUCCUUUAUGGCUCUAAUCUGAUUGUGGUAGUGGGGUGGUAGAAGGCUCCUUUUGGCUCUAAUCUGAUAGUGGUAGUGGGGUGGUAGAUGUCUAGGCUCCUUUAUGGUUCUAAUCUGAUAGUGGUAGUGGGGUGGUAGAUGUCUAGCCUCCUUUAUGGCUCUAAUCUGAUAGUGGUAGAUGUCUAGUCUCCUUUAUGGUUCUAAUCUGAUAGUGGUAGUGGGGUGGUAGAUGUCUAGUCUCCUUUAUGGCUAUAAUCUGACAGUGGUAGUGUGGUGGUAGAUGUCUAGUCUCCUGUAUGGCUCUAAUCUGAUAGUUGUAGUGGGGUGGUAGAUGUCUAGUCUCCUUUAUGGUGCUAAUCUGAUAGUUGUAGUGGGGUGGUAGAUGUCUAGUCUCCUUUGUGGUUCUAAUAUGAUAGUGGGGUGGUAGAAGACUCCUUUAUGGCUCUAAUCUGAUAGUGGUAGAUGUCCCCUUUAUGGCUCUAAUCUGAUAGUGGUAGAUGUCCCCGUUAUGGCUCUAAUCUGAUAGUGGUAGUGUGGUGGUAGAUGUCUAGUCCCGUUUAUGGCUCUAAUCUGAUAGUGGUAGAUGUCUGGUCUCCUUUAUGGUUCUAAUCUGAUAGUGGUAGUUGGUUGGUAGAUGUCUAGUCUCCUUUAUGGUUCUAAUAUGAUAGUGGUAGUGGGGUGGUAGAUGACUCCUUUAUGGCUCUAAUCUGAUAGUGGUAGUGGGGUGGUAGAAGACUCCUUUAUGGCUCUAAUAUGAUAGUGGUAGUGGGGUGGUAGAUGUCUAGUCUCCUUUAUGGCUCUAAUCUGAUAGUGGUAGAUGACUCCUUUAUGGCUCUAAUCUGAAAGUGAUAGUGGGGUGGUAGAUGUCUCCUUUAUGGCUCUAAUCUGAAAGUGGUAGAUGACUCCUUUAUGGCUCUAAUCUGAUAGUAGUAGUGUGGUGGUAGAUGUCUAGGCUUCUUUAUGUCUCUAAUCUGACAGUGGUAGAUGUCUAGUCUCCUUUAUGGCUCUAAUCUGAUAGUGGUAGUUGUCUAGUCUCCUUUAUGGCUCUAAUCUGACAGUGGUAGUGGGGUGG